rnacentral:rRNA from 1 species
CCGGAGCUUGCUCCACCGGAAAAAGAGGAGUGGCGAACGGGUGAGUAACACGUGGGUAACCUGCCCAUCAGAAGGGGAUAACACUUGGAAACAGGUGCUAAUACCGUAUAACAAUCGAAACCGCAUGGUUUUGAUUUGAAAGGCGCUUUCGGGUGUCGCUGAUGGAUGGACCCGCGGUGCAUUAGCUAGUUGGUGAGGUAACGGCUCACCAAGGCCACGAUGCAUAGCCGACCUGAGAGGGUGAUCGGCCACAUUGGGACUGAGACACGGCCCAAACUCCUACGGGAGGCAGCAGUAGGGAAUCUUCGGCAAUGGACGAAAGUCUGACCGAGCAACGCCGCGUGAGUGAAGAAGGUUUUCGGAUCGUAAAACUCUGUUGUUAGAGAAGAACAAGGAUGAGAGUAACUGUUCAUCCCUUGACGGUAUCUAACCAGAAAGCCACGGCUAACUACGUGCCAGCAGCCGCGGUAAUACGUAGUGGCAAGCGUUGUCCGGAUUUAUUGGGCGUA